rnacentral:misc_RNA from 1 species
CCCCCCCCACUUUUUUGCAAAGUUAGACGUAACCAUUAGGCACAUAGCAGAAUAGAGGGUUCAGCCCCCCCCCUUUUUUCGCAGGAAAUAUAAUUGUUCCUCAAUUUACCUUGAAAGAUUGAGAAUUUGGAGUGAUAGCCCCCCACCCCCCCCCCCCCCCCCCCCCCCCCCACCACCACCACGGAUUAGGAAUUUCAUGAUUUUGGAAAAGAUAUACUUGGUAGGUAAAUUUUUUUUAUUAGCCUUGUAGGUUUACUCGAUUUUUAUGAUUUUGGGGCUAAGGUUUUUUUCUCAAUAUUUCUGAGGAUUAGUCUAGCCCCCCCCCCCCCCCCCCACUUUCAAUUUGCUUCCGACGCCAGUGUUUCAUUUUUAAUUAUUUAACUAAGAUGUAUUUUUCAAGUUUGUUUUGUGUUAAAAACCAUCUCUCUCUCCCCCCCCCCCUCUCUCAUAUUCACUAUAGUUUUGGAGUGAAAGAUCUCCUUACUGAUAUUGUAUAAAUGACUCCUGUUUUGUAAUGGUUUUUAUUGUUAAAAGUUAUGUGACAUAUUUUGGUGUGUGUGCAAUAGACUUGAUUUCAGAGGGUGCUAUUUGUACGCAGGGUAACGAGUGUCGUCCGAGAUUCCGACAAGAUUUACAAACCUAUCCAGCAUUCCAUGUUGAUCUGUUUAUUAAAUAUGUUGUUUUAUGUCAUUUAUUGUUAAAUUUUGUCAUAAUGUGUGCCAUAUCACUUUAAUUUAUGGUCCGUGUGUAGUGACUGUGUAGUGGACAUCUAAUGUCUGAAUACCAUCACAUCUUGAUGAACUCCAAACACGUUGUAAUAUAACCACUUAUCACACCACGUGGUUUCAACUUUGAAGUUUGGCAGAUUUGUUGUCGGGGUUAGAGAUGAAACUGGAAUGGAUUCUGCAACCCGUUGAUGGCAGAGGGUCUGCCGUCGUUGCGUUGGAAACUUCAAACCAUCGAUCCUCUUUUUCGGGGAUUGAUUUCAGUUCGUCAACACAAUACCAGUAAGCGAAAGUGUGGGGCCAGAGACAAGACUAAACACUUUGAAAGUGUGAACUUAGUACCGACUUUGUGUAAACUGAUUUUGUAUUUUCCAUUUUUAAAUUGUCAAUCGUCAAACGAUGAGUCAUGUUGUUGUACAUGUAUGUAAUAAAGACAAUCAAAGCUU